UAUGAGCUCUAUCGGGUUUCUGAACCCUGG
rnacentral:piRNA from 1 species